rnacentral:lncRNA from 1 species
AACCAAUUCCCAAAAUCAUCAGUUAAAGAUUUGAUUAUAUUUCUCCUUCUCCUAUUGAGAGUAGAUGUAUAAAAGAACUUAGUAUUGGCAUCACCCUCAGUGAUCCAACUAAUUCUAGAUUUCAUCAUACAAAAUUCUUGUUCUUGCUUAAGAGUGUUACUGAAUUCAUUGGAGAGAGAUUUCUCUAAGGCAUGGAGGAAAGGACUAUGAGAGUAGUUGGGAGACUUUUGAAUCCUAGCUAGCCUGGCCAGAAUUUUUUUUUUCUGUGGAAGAUAUUCCCAAAUAUUUCCUUAUUUCAAGUCUUGAUUUGGGACUCAAAAUGGCUAAUAAUAGAGGUAAGAUCAAAGGAUGUUUCAAAAGAGUUCCUAAUCAUAGCAGGGAAAAUUGGGUGGGAGUGCCACAUAGUCUCCAUUCUAAAAGUUUUAGAGAAGAUGGUAUGCUCUUUGGUGAGAUCCACCAGGAGAGGAUAGUGGUUAGAGUGGGUCAUAGAGAGGUCGGUCACAGAGGAUUCAGGAAAGAGGUCAAUCCAAGAAGCAUUAGCUAGACAUCUAUCAAGUCUUUCCAUGAUAAGGGCAUGUCUAUUUCUAUACCUCGUAUUUGUUUAGGUAUACUUACUACCUUUGAAUCCAAGAUCCAUUAGGUUGUAUUGAUUCAGACAAUUGCAACAUAGGCUAGCUCUGAAAUUUAACACUAUUUCCCCUAUAUUUGUCUGAAGCUUUUAGGACUUUAUUGAAGGCCCCCAAUCAUCCAAGAAUUGUUGGGAUAGUGUUUAAUGGUCUUAACAAAAUCCAUGAGCUAAUUCUAAAGAGUUUUCCUAAAAUCUAGAUUACUGCUAACAUAAAUAACAGAAAAAACCAAGAAGAGGAAGGGUUAAUUACCUAGAAUGAAACAUGAAAGGUCUGCUGGGACAAAUAUAUAUUAGUGAUGUAAAGGUUAUUGUCACUCCACAUGAUGGUAAGUCCUCCAGAAUUUCCAGAAGUCGGGUAUUAAAUUUUGUUAGAAAAUCCUAACUUCUCAAGGAUAGCUUAAUGUCCACUCAUUUUAUUUUCAAGCAGGGUAAGAAUGGAUAGCUUAUGGAUAUACACCAUUGACCUACAAUUUCACCUAAGCUCAGAGCUAUGGGCUCCCCUAUCAUUCCAUAAUAUGUAGUUCAUCAGGAGCUUGUUUGGUUGUGGGGGUGGUUCCAAAAGAAUCUCCUUCCCCUUCUCUAGAGGGGGUGGAAAAUAAAAGAUUUUGUGUUCUUAAUUUUCAUUUUCAUGGGGGAUAUUUUGGUUCUGAAGCAAUAGUUAGGGCUCCUUGUCUCUGGUAGAAAGACUCUAGACUGAACGUUAUUAAGGUUUGUGGUAGGAGAAUUAUUUCUAUUUCAAUUAUCGCAUCCUCAAUCCUCGAAGCUACUGACUUUCUAGUACAAGUACCUCUGAUCUUGGUAUUUUGAGGGAUUCCAAGAUCAAAUUGAUUUCUCUACUGUUUUUAUCUCUAAGAGUUUAGAAUUUUUUCCUCUUGUCAUUUCUAGGUUCUAAUUCAAAGGCCGAGGGUCCAUAUAUGUAGGGGGACCUGAGGGACCCUCACAAAGGUUGGUCGUGAUUCCAGCCUUCCUGGAAUACUCUGAGGAAUAAAGGGUAGAGUGAGACUGGCUUAGUUUAUAAUUACUACCAGUGUCUCUAGAGAUAGGAUCCCUUGAAAGGGUUGGCUGAUAAAACCAAUCAAAACUGUCCUUCAUAU